AUACGUAGGGUGCGAGCGUUGUCCGGAAUUACUGGGCGUAAAGAGCUCGUAGGUGGUUUGUCGCGUCGUCUGUGAAAUUCCGGGGCUUAACUCCGGGCGUGCAGGCGAUACGGGCAUAACUUGAGUACUGUAGGGGAGACUGGAAUUCCUGGUGUAGCGGUGAAAUGCGCAGAUAUCAGGAGGAACACCGGUGGCGAAGGCGGGUCUCUGGGCAGUAACUGACGCUGAGGAGCGAAAGCAUGGGUAGCGAACAGGAUUAGAUGCCCUGGUAGUCCAUGCCGUAAACGGUGGGCGCUAGGUGUAGGGGUCUUCCACGACUUCUGUGCCGUAGCUAACGCAUUAAGCGCCCCGCCUGGGGAGUACGGCCGCAAGGCUAAAACUCAAAUGAAUUGACGGGG
rnacentral:rRNA from 1 species